UUAAGUCCCACAAAAACCCUGAUAAAUCUUAUAAGUGCAUUUUAAUUUCAUAGACAAUUAGAUAAAUGCAGCUGCAAGCAAUUACAGGAACAAGUGAGGUCAAAAUUUGUUCAGCAUAAUGCAAAGAGUAAAGGGAGAUCAAAGUCUUUUGCAACUAAACCAUGCUAGGAAUAGUUCAAAACCACAUCCUUUAGGUCAGCAGCACAGAGCUCAACCCACCAUGACACAUCAGGAAUGGCAGCAGUCAGACAGAGACAUCAUUCAACAAAGUGUUUUGCAGGUGAAUAUUGUGUCUACUGUUGGGGAGGAUGCUAUUUCAUGCCCAUGAGAAGACUUUGCAGGACCAGAAGAAGACAACCAGUAAGUAUCUUUAACUGAUGUCUAUACAAUUGCAGAUAACUGUUAAAGGGUUAGUUCAUCACAAAAUCAAAAUUGUCAUCAUCACCCAUAUUCCAUCCCAAACCCCUAAGACUUCCAUUUAUCUUCAAAACACAAAUGAAGAUGUUUUAUUGAAAAUUAGAGAUUUAUAUUCCUCCAUUGACAGUCCACACAACUACUACUUUGAUUCUUCAAAAAUGUCAUGAAAAUAUUGUAAAACAAAUCCAUGUGAACUGAAAAGUUUAGUCCAGAUUUUCUGAAGAACUAUAAUUUUAUAUGAUGAACAGAUUGAAUUUAUGCUUUUAUUCACAUGUAAACAUGAAUCAGUACACACAUUAGAUACGAUAAACAAAAUACUUGGGAAAAAUUAAAGAGGUUCAUUUUUGUGUUAAACAUCAAUUUUGAGCUUCCACAAGAACAAAUGAAGUUUGUUCUCAUGUGUCAAGUAAGGCUGAGCGUCUGUUUGUUCAGUGUUUAUAUGUGAAUAAAAGACUAAGUUCACUUUGUUCAUCAUAUAAUGUUUCCAGGUUUCCUUAAAGGGUAAGUUCACCCUAAAAUGAAAAUUUCAUUAAUUACUCACCCUCAUGUUGUUUCACACUCAUAAGACCUUAGUUUGUCUUCAUAAAGAUAUUUUUGAUUAAAUCCAAAAACUUUCUGUCCUUCCACUGGUAGCAACGCAACUUACACAUUUCAAGGUCGAGGACUGUAACAAAUGCAUCAGAGUGAUAAAUUUCACUCACUUCUGUGGUUUAACCUCAGUUUUAUGAAGCGAUGUCAGAGCUUUGUUUAUGUAUCAUUAUUUACCUUUCAAAAUAAUUUAUCCAAAGUGCAUUCAUGUGACAGCAUAAUUUCUUGUGUAAACACAACAUGAAUCUAUUGUGGUGCUUUUGUGAAGGUACUUGCAGAUCACUGUUUCUUUGUCAGUUUGUUUUGUUUUGUCUUGUUUUGACUUGUUUUGUUUUGUGCAAACGUAGCAUUCACAUAACUUCAUAAAUCUGAGGUUCAACCACCUCUGGAUUCACAUGGAUUACUUUAAUAAAGGUCUUUAUGGUUCUGGGCCUUGAAUAUGUAAGUUGCAUGGCUGUUUAUGGAGGGACAGAAAGCUCUCAGAUUUCAUCAAAAAUAUCUUGCAGUGAAUCUUUGUGGUAUGCAUGUUUUAUCUUGAGACUUUGCUUGUUCUGAAAGGUUGGAAUGGAUAAUGUAUGUCUUUAUAGUUGCUAAAUGUCUUUUUAGAUGUAGAUUUUUUAUGUUGCUUUGGUUUUACAUCUGUGAUAUUCAGGGAGAAGGUUAACAACUGUCACAUUCGAACAGGUGUUACAUGCUAAGAAUAUUUAUACUCUGAUACUCUGUUAAUUUUUCAAGUAUUUAGUGUAAUCUGGAAAAAUGCAUUUCGCAAGGAAAUAUUUUACUGUUCAAUCACUUAUGUGUAUUUGAUAUGUACAGUACAGACCAAAAGUUUGGACACACCUUCUCAUUCAAAGAGUUUUCUUAAUUUUCAUGACUAUGAAAAUUGUAGAUUCACACUGAAGGUAUCAAAACUAUGAAUGUACACAUGUGG
rnacentral:lncRNA from 1 species